UACGUAGGGGGCUAGCGUUGUCCGGAAUCAUUGGGCGUAAAGCGCGUGUAGGCGGUUCGGUAAGUCCGCUGUGAAAGUCGGGGGCUCAACCCUCGAAAGCCGGUGGAUACUGUCGGGCUAGAGUACGGAAGAGGCGAGUGGAAUUCCUGGUGUAGCGGUGAAAUGCGCAGAUAUCGGGAGGAACACCAAUGGCGAAGGCAGCUCGCUGGGACGUUACUGACGCUGAGACGCGAAAGCGUGGGGAGCAAACAGG
rnacentral:rRNA from 1 species